rnacentral:lncRNA from 1 species
AGCUGGCUGCUAGGCCUGGAUCCCUUGUUUCCUGAGAUACUCAACUUCCCAGCCUCCCUUGCAGCUAGUGGUAAUCAUGUGACCCAUUUCUGGCCAGUAAGACGAAAAAGGAAGUUCACUGGACUGGCAGAGGGAGCUCGGGAGGGCUUUUGCUGAGGCCACUUGUUCUUCUUGCCAUAAAGGGCCCCACUCAAGAAACCAUCCUCUCCUGGGUGGAGGCUACAGCCUCUGAUCAUCUGCUGUGUGAUGAUUCACUGUGAUGGAAAAGUGGGAGGAGAUGCUGAUCCUGAAAACAGUAUUUAUGGUGCAAAUCUCAUCCAUGCAACAGGACAAUUGUCCCAAAUCCAGGGCUUAUGUCUUCUCCUCCUGGAGCCUCCAUUGCUCUCAACUCAAUAAACACUAAAUAAGACUUGC